rnacentral:rRNA from 1 species
UAGGGAAUCUUCCACAAUGGACGCAAGUCUGAUGGAGCAACGCCGCGUGAGUGAAGAAGGUCUUCGGAUCGUAAAACUCUGUUGUUAGAGAAGAACACGAGUGAGAGUAACUGUUCAUUCGUUGACGGUAUCUAACCAGCAAGUCACGGCUAACUACGUGCUAG